AUUGUAAAAACUUUAAAAAACUUCUCAUAAAAACCCCAAAGAUUUAAAGCUUGGAUAUUUAUCAUGAAACAUCUUCUAAUGGCUGUCUACCAAGUUUGUUCAAAUAAAAGUCCCUGGUUUAAAAUUGGCAUUGGCCCAGGGGUCUAUAUACAGGUGAGCGAUUUCAGGGCCAUCAUGGCCCUCUUGUUAAUAAUACACAUACCAUGUUUUGAUUAAAUACCUACAUACCUAUACAAACCUAUUCCAGACCACAGCCUCCUUGCAUAGACCUGAACCAUGGACCACAGAGAAGGACACAAUGCUUCCUCUUUCACAGAAAUCUUUUGAACAGACCACAGCCUCCUUGCAUAGACCUGAACCAUGGACCACAGAGAAGGACUCAAUGCUUCCUCUUUCACAGAAAUCUAUUAAACAGACCACAGCCUCCUUGCAUAGACCUGAACCAUGCACCACAGAGAAGGACACAAUGCCUGUUCCUUCACAGAAAUCUAUUGAGCAGGUACAUGACCUUUGAAAUAUUCCUGUACUAUACUUUAUUUUCACACUGAUAUUUCUUUUGAUUAUUAAUUCGUCUAUGUAAAAUGUGUUUCUAUAGGUUUUCAAAGCAGUGCAAUGAAAAUGUUUAAUCAUAUUUUAUAGAUUGAUUUUAUGAGAACCAAAAGUUUUUUCCAUGUGACCUUUCAAAAUAUACAAUAAUAAUUCUCUUGUUUUUAGCUCACCUGAGCAAUGCUCAGGGUGAGCUAUUGUGAUGGCCCUGUGUCUGUCGUGCGUCGUCAACUUUUAACAUAAACAACAUCUCCUCUGAAACCAAUGACUGCACAUCAACCAAACUUUACAGAAAUGAUCCUUGGGUGGUCCCCUUUCAAAGUUGUUCAAAUGGUUCCGGUCUGUUGCAUAUGUAGGUCAUAGGGCCAGAAAAGGAUUUCAAAAAACACAAAAUUAAAAAAUCUUCUUGUUUGAAAGUACAUGGGCCAGAGCUUUGAUUUUUGGUAUAUGGUAUCAUCUAUGAGUCCUCUACCAAAGUUGUUCAAAUUUUGUCCCUAGUGUCAAAAUUGGCCCCGCCCCGGGGGGUCAUAGGUUUUUAGCUCACCUGUCACAAAGUGACAGGGUGAGCUUUUGUGAUCACUUUUCGUCCGGCGUCCUGCCGGCAUCCGUCCGUAAACUUUUGCUUUAAAUGACAUCUCCUCAUAAACCACUGAGCCAAUUUCAUCCAAACUUCACAGGAAUGUUCCUUUGGUGGUCACCUUUAAAAAUUGUUCAAAGAAUUUAAUUCCAUGCAGAACUCUGGUUGCCAUGGCAACCGAAAGAAAAAUCUUUAAAUAUCUUCUUUUAAACAACCCUAAGAGCUAGAGCUUAGAUAUUUGGCAUGAAACAUCUUCUAGUGAGUGUCUACCAAGUUUGUUCAAAUAAAAGCUCUGGGGUCAAAAUUGGCCCCGCCCCAGGGGGUCAUUGAUUUCCCUAUAUGCAUAUAGUAAAAACUUAAAAAAUCUUCUAUUAUAGAACCCAAAGAGCUAAUGCUAAGAUAUUUGGCAUGAAACAUUUUCUAGUGAGUGUCUACAAAGUUUGUUCAAAUAAAAGCCCUGGGGUCAAAAUUGGCCCUGCCCCAGGGGGUCAUUGAUUUUCCCUAUAUGUAUAUAGUAAAAACUUAAAAAAUCUUCU